AUGGGAAUAGGGUUUUUUAAAGAAGCCAAGAAUGCGGACACGCAUCCUCCGCCGUCCUCAGAUGGCGGCGCGAGCGCGGGCGCGGGCGCGAGCGCGGGCGCGGGCGCGGGCGCGGGGCCCGGGCGGGGCGCGCCCCCGGGGCUGGAGGCGGGCCUGCAGAAGAUGGCGCUGCGGCGGGAGAAGGUGCUGGGCGCCGAGGAGAUGGAGCUGUUCAAGCUGGCGCAGGAGGCGGGCGGCGCCAUGGACCCCGACGUGUGCAAGAUCCUGGUGGACCUGCUGAAGCUGAACGUGGUGCCCCUCGCCGUCUUCCAGAUGCUCAGUGCAUGUGCGCCGGGCAGAGGCUGGCGAGCGAGCCCCAGGACCCCGCGGCCGCGCCCCUGGCCACGCCCGGCGUGCCUGAGACCCGAGGGAGAAACAAAGGCAGAGGUGCCCUCGGCCGGCGGAGGCCCGGCGCUGCCAGAACGCGGUGCCCGGGAAGGAUCCAGCCAGAGGAUGCCCCGCCAACCCAGCGCCACCAGGCUGCCCAAGCGGGGCAGGCCGGGGAAGAGCCCCACGCGGAGCAGCACCUGA